AUGAUAUAUACAGUACAUAUGCUAAAAUUGGAAUGGUACAGAGAAGAUUAGCAUGGCCCCUGUGCAAGGAUGACAUGCAAAUUUGUGAAAUGUUCCAUAUUUAU
rnacentral:snRNA from 1 species